rnacentral:rRNA from 1 species
UACAGAGGGCCGGCCGCUGGCAACAUUGGUCCAAUCCUUAAAGUCAUCCUCAGUUCGGACUGGGGUCUGCAACCCGACCCCACGAAGCUGGAUUCGCUAGUAAUCGCGCAUCAGCCAUGGCGCGGUGAAUACGUUCCCGGGCCUUGUACACACCGCCCGUCAAGCCAUGGGAGCCGGGGGUGCUUGAAGUUCGUUACCGCAAGGAUCGACCUAGGGCAAAACUGGUGACUGGGGCUAAGUCGUAACAAGGUACC